AGCGUUAUCUGAUAUUAAUUUUACGUGAGGUCCGCUGGAACGUCGUAUUGUAUUUUUGAGAAUAAAUGGCUGAGAGAAUUAUCGCAUGUAAAACUAAACGCUGGACUAAGACGGUUUCAGCGUUAGAUAACCAUAAUUUAUUGGCUAAUAAACGCCCGCAGAUUGCGUAGUGUGCGCACAGUAACAAUGUGCAGCGACCUUCGUUACGUAACAGAAUGACCAGCCUAUAUUUGCAAAGAUGAAACUGUACUUCCUUAACUGGUGAACUGUCUAAAAAAGAAUCAUUUUUCUUCAUUUAGAUGAGAAAAACGUAGCUCGAUGAUUGCGAUAAAUGAAAUGAUCAAAGAAAAUCAUUCCGUGUUCUGGAUCCUGAUGCUGCACCAAUUAUUAUUCCUUACUUCGAUUCAGUUAUGAUUUCACAAUAAGGAACGACGUUGGUUACUUAUCUUAAAAUAAAAGAGAAAGAGUAUAGACACACGAACGGAUAGAUUUUGUUGCAUCAGAUUCUUGAAAAUCAUAGUUAAUGGGAAAAAUGAUUUUUGAAAAAAUAAUAGCAGGAAAAUUCCCAGUUAUAAUAACUUUACGACGUUACGUGGAACCGACAAGCGGCCGAAGAUUAAGAGAUUCCAGAGUUAAUACUUUCGGUAACGUAAUCGCAUUUUUAUCAUUCUUUGAGAAUAAAAAUCAUAGAUGUAGAUCAGGGAACAAGACUGAUUUAUCUACAUGAAAACGGUAUCCAUGAAUCAUUUGUGCUUAGAUAAUUGACCAUUCCCAUCAUUGUAAUGGACACCGUCAAAUUGCAAAUUGAUCCAAUCAAACUAGUUAUCGAGGUCAGGAGGUCAAUGGAUUUUAUGAAGAUGAUGCUGUCAUUAGACCGAUCAUCACUGACGAGGAAUCAUCUCGAACUAUAUGGACACGCAUUAAUGUCACAGCUCAACUAGCAAUGACUCUCUAACAUCGCCAGACGAUUUGCACGGAUUGGACCUCCGCUGUGAGAUCCUUGAAGAUCUCGACCAGAAGUUGGACUUGAACGAUGUUCAGAUACCGUACUCAUGCCCGAACCACCCCUGGAGGAAGUGCCACUGUUACUUCUACGGGAUCCUGAUACAAGAAACAAGCAGCUGCCAGUAGCCGCCAUCUUGGUUGAUCCGGUGCCAAUUCAACGGCUCUCUCAAAGAAAGUGAAUGCUUUCUCAGCAACCUAUUUAAAAUGACAUGUAACUGAGUGAAUUUCUAAAUAAAUAAUAGAAUUAGGAUA